UGCAAGUCGAACGAGACUCCGGGCUUCGGCCCGGAUGACAGUGGCGCAAGGGUGAGUAACACGUGAGUAAUCUGCCCCGAAGUCCGGGAUAGCCCAUGGAAACGUGGAUUAAUACCGGAUGUGGCUGUAUGAACUGCGGUUUUAACAGUUAAAGAUUCAUUGCUUCGGGAUGAGCUCGCGGUCCAUCAGCUUGUUGGUGAGGUAAUGGCUCACCAAGGCGACGACGGAUAGCUGGUCUGAGAGGAUGACCAGUCACACUGGGACUGAGACACUGCCCAGACUCCUACGGGAGGCUGCAGUCGAGAAUCUUCCGCAAUGGGCGCAAGCCUGACGGAGCAAUGCUGCGUGCCGGAUGAAGGCCUUCGGGUCGUAAACGGCUGUCACUCGGGACGAAUUUUGACGGUACCGAGAGAGGAAGCCACGGCUAACUACGUGCCAGCAGCCGCGGUAAUACGUAGGUGGCGAGCGUUGUUCGGAAUUAUUGGGCGUAAAGGGCGCGUAGGCGGCUUGGCAAGCCUGGUGUGAAAGGCCACAGCUUAACUGUGGGAGUGCGCUGGGAACUGCCUAGCUAGAGUUUCGGAGGGGAAGCUGGAAUCCCUGGUGUAGGGGUGAAAUCUGUAGAUAUCAGGAAGAACAUCUGUGGCGAAGGCGAGCUUCUGGCCAGAAACUGACGCUGAGGCGCGAAAGCGUGGGGAGCGAACAGGAUUAGAUACCCUGGUAGUCCACGCUGUAAACGAUGUGCACUAGGUGUUGGCUGUGAUAACGGUCAGUGCCGAAGCAAACGCGAUAAGUGCACCGCCUGGGGAGUAUGCUCGCAAGGGUGAAACUCAAAGGAAUUGACGGGGGCCCGCACAAGCGGUGGAGCAUGUGGUUUAAUUCGAUGAUACGCGAGGAACCUUACCAGGGUUUGACAUAUGGCGGACUGCGGUAGAGAUGUCGCUUCCCUUCGGGGCCGUCAUACAGGUGCUGCAUGGCUGUCGUCAGCUCGUGCUGUGAGGUGUUGGGUUAAGUCCCGCAACGAGCGCAACCCCUGCUGUCUGUUACCAGCACGUAAUGGUGGGGACUCAGGCGGUACUGCCGGUGACAAACCGGAGGAAGGUGGGGACGACGUCAAGUCAUCAUGGCCCUUAUGUCCUGGGCUACACACGUGCUACAAUGGCCGGUACAGAGUGCAGCGAAACCGCGAGGUGGAGCAAAUCACAGAAAGCCGGUCUCAGUACGGAUUGGAGUCUGAAACCCGACUUCAUGAAGCUGGAAUCGCUAGUAAUCGCGCAUCAGCAUGGCGCGGUGAAUACGUUCCCGGGCCUUGUACACACCGCCCGUCACACCACCCGAGUUGGGGGUACCCGAAGUCGCUUGUCUAACCGGAAACGGGGG
rnacentral:rRNA from 1 species